AAUACCCAUUAUGUUUCCUACAUAUUUUCUGAGGAAGUUUCAUGUUUGACUGAAAUGCACAGAAGUACAGGUAGAAUUAACUGCUUCAGUUUCACAGAGCAAGGAAACUAUUAUAAUAAAGGACAGCUCUAAGACACUAGUAUAUUUCUCACAGUUGCAUUAAUUGUUAUAAGAAGAAAGACUGAGAAAUCUCUCCUAAAACCUUGUGAACAAAGUUCAUAUAAUCAAAACUAGGA